GAUGAACGCUGGCGGCGUGCCUAAUACAUGCCAGUCGAGCGAACGGACGAGAAGCUUGCUUCUCUGAUGUUAGCGGCGGACGGGUGAGUACCACGUGGAUAACCUACCUAUAAGACUGGGAUAACUUCGGAAAACCGGAGCUAAUACCGGAUGAUAUUUUGAACCGCAUGGUUCAAAAGUGAAAGACGGUCUUGCUGUCACUUAUAGAUGGAUCCGCGCUGCAUUAGCUAGUUGGUAAGGUAACGGCUUACCAAGGCAACGAUGCAUAGCCGACCUGAGAGGGUGAUCGGCCACACUGGAACGGAGACACGGUCCAGACUCCUACGGGAGGCAGCAGUAGGGAAUCUUCCGCAAUGGGCGAAAGCCUGACGGAGCAACGCCGCGUGAGUGAUGAAGGUCUUCGGAUCGUAAAACUCUGUUAUUAGGGAAGAACAUAUGUGUAAGUAACUGUGCACAUCUUGACGGUACCUAAUCAGAAAGCCACGGCUAACUACGUG
rnacentral:rRNA from 1 species